GCCAACUCUCAUCAACUGUCAUCCUCGUUUGACCAUGCACUGCAAAAACAAAUGGACUCAAAAAACUUGUAUAUCAAACAAAUAAUACAUCAACAGUGACUCAAAAGACUUACACGCACUACACUACUUUUGCCGAAAACUGUCGUAUGCAACCUGCUCACAACUUAAGUUGUACUGUGUAAAUCACCACUUUCUGACAGACUACGCACUCCGUAAUUCGCAGUCCGUUAUUUUCACCAUGCCCUAUGUUAUUCAAUUUGAUCCCACAACAUUGCAACAUCUCAUUGGCAUUGAACCGAACAAAGACUAGCCAAUGAGAAUCUGUCAUUUGUAAAAGCCCACUUCAUGCAAGCACCCACUUGUUUUCCUUGUAUACAAAAUGACAAUGGUUAUGAAUUAAUGCACGGAUGCACACAACAGUACUUCGGUGGUUUUUUG